rnacentral:rRNA from 1 species
UACGUAGGGGGCGAGCGUUGUCCGGAGUUACUGGGCGUAAAGCGCUUGUAGGCGGUCCACCAAAUUUGGGGUGACAGUUGCCGACUUAAUCGGCAAAGUGCCUCAAAGACUGGCGGACUUGAGGGCCACAGAGGGACAUGGAACUCCAGGUGUAGUGGUGAAAUGCGUAGAUAUCUGGAAGAACACCAAAGGCGAAGGCAGUGUCCUGGGUGGUCGCUGACGCUGAGAGGCGAAAGCCAGGGGAGCGAACGGG